UGAGGGUUCAAGUCCCUCUACCCCCAUAUAUUGGCAAAAU
rnacentral:misc_RNA from 1 species